rnacentral:rRNA from 1 species
CUAUAUCCCUAACACCUGUGAAC